CCUACGGGUGGCAGCAGUGAGGCAUAUUGGUCAAUGGGCGCGAGCCUGAACCAGCCAAGUCGCGUGAGGGAGGACGGCCCUACGGGUUGUCAACCUCUUUUGCCGGGGAGCAACGGGCGCCACGUGUGGCGUCACUGAGAGUACCCGGAGAAAAAGCAUCGGCUAACUCCGUGCCAGCAGCCGCGGUAAUCCGGAGUAUGCGAGCGUUAUCCGGAUUUAUUGGGUUAAAAGGGUGCGUAGGCGGAUCGUUAAUUCAGUGGUAAAAUUGAGGGGAUCCACCCCUUCCCGCCAUUGAAACUGGCGUGCUUGAGUGGAAGAGAAGUAGGCGGAAUGCGUGGUGUAGCGGUGAAAUGCAUAGAUAUCACGCAGAACCCCGAUUGCGAAGGCAGCAUGCCGGCUUCCGACUGACGCUGAAGCACGAAAGCGUGGGGAUCGAACAGGAUUAGAUACCCGGGUAGUC
rnacentral:rRNA from 1 species